rnacentral:pre_miRNA from 1 species
AUAAUACUCCUUCCGUCUCAUAUUAAGUGUCGUAACUUUGUCUAGAUAGGCAUGUAUCUAGACGCGUUUUAGUGUGUAGGCACAUGUGUAUAUAGACAAAGUUGCGACACUUAAUAUGAGAAGGACAAGUAUAUU